CUCUCAAUAAAUUAAAUAUUGAUUAUCUGGAGGGAAUCCCUCAAUAAACUGAAUAUUGAUUAUCUGGAGGGCCUCUCUAAAUAAAUUAAAUAUUGAUAAUCUGGAGGGCUUCCCUCAAUAAACUGAAUAUUGAUUAUCUGGAGUGCCUCUCUCAAUAAAUUGAAUAUUGAUUGUCUGAAGUGCCUCUCUCCCUCAAUAAAUUAAAUAUUGAUUAUCUGCAGGGCCUGUCUCCCUCAAUAAACUGAAUAUUGAUUAUCUGGAGUGCCUCUUUCUCUCAAUAAAUUAAAUAUUGAUUAUGUGGAGUGCCUCCCUCAAUAAACUGAAUAUUGAUUAUCUGGAGGGCCUCUCUCCCUCAAUAAAUUAAAUAUUGAUUAUCUGGAGGGCAUCCCUCAAUAAACUGAAUAUUGAUUAUCUGGAGGGCCUCUCUAAAUAAAUUAAAUAUUGAUUAUCUGGAGGGCAACCCUCAAUAAACUGAAUAUUGAUUAUCAGGAGUGUGUGAACCUGAUCGAGGUCCAGCUUGUUGCGAGCGGGUUUUUCGUCGCGGAACGUCCCGGCGGGAGGAUAAAAACCGCGGCGAUGUCACAAAGGAUUUGUCACCCGCGGCACCCCUGGCGACCACGGAACCCACCCGAGCCCCGCACUGUCCGCCAGGACAGCGACGGAUCCCGGAUGGGUGCCGCUUCAUGCAAAGCACACGGUGGAUUUCGUCGAAGCUUUUGCUCGGAGCCCGGCGAAGGUACCCGAG